GUUUUUCCCCCCUCUUUACUUUCCCUGUUUUGCUUGGUGAUGUUCUAAAAGUUCCUCGGGUCUUUCUACACUAUUUCUCCUCAGAGCAACUCCUGUUAACAUCUCUUUGAAUUACUAAUUCUUUUGUUAAAUUGUGUGUGUGUGUGUGUGUGUGUGUUUGUGUGUGUGUGUGUGUAUGUGUGUGUGUGUGUGUUUGUGUGUGUGUGUGUUUGUGUGUGUGUUUUUGUGUGUGUGUGUGUGUAUGUGUGUGUGUGUGUGUUUGUGUGUGUGUUUUGUGUGUGUGUGUGUAUGUGUGUGUGUGUGAAUGCCAUGUCUGUGCAGGUGCCUGCAGAGGCUAGAAAAGCCCGUGGAGCUAGAGUUACAGAUGGUCCUGAAUAGCAGCCGUGGAAGCUCAGAACCAGACUCUUGUCUUCUGGAAGAACAGCAAGUGUUCUAACUUGUGGGUCAUCCCUCCAGCUCCAGAAUUGUUGAUUCUUUCUUCUUGGUAAAGCCUGCUAUUGAAUCCCUUUCAUGAAAAUUUCAGUGACCCUGGACUUAAAAGGUUGUCAUCCAUUCUACAACAGAGUAUUAGUGAUAUUUGAAGAGCAUAACUCUGACACUUGACAUUAAAUAUGAGAAGUAUUGAGGCCGAACACAAAGGAACAGGAAGCCAACUCCAAGAUGGCAUCGGUUUCCCUGUAGGCCGUCAGCAUAAACAACACCACUGCGCAGGCGCUAACCCGAGUUUGGCGCCAACCCCUCUGGAGCGGGUGCAUGCUAAUUAGGUGCCGACAGGCUGACCAAUCUCAGGAGGACACGAGGCCUUUCCCAGUGCUGGGAUGCAUAUAAGCAGACCUCCCCUGGGUUCCCGGGGUCCCUGUCGCAGCAUCGAGGUGUUCCUGCAAUAAAGGCUGUUGAGAAGAAUCCGACCAUGUUGUGUCUUCCUUGCCGGCCAAGGUGGG
rnacentral:lncRNA from 1 species